rnacentral:lncRNA from 1 species
GUGGGGCAAAGCUGCGCUCAUACUGAAUUUUAAUUAAAAACUUGCUCAAAACCGGCAUCAAAGUUCCAAAAUUUUUCGUCCGUUUUUCAUACAUACCGUUAUCGGAAUAAGGUUGACCAGGAACAGUUGUAUUUGUUUAACAUAUUAUUAGUCAAUGGUUGAUAAUAAAACAGUUUCAUUAUAGAAAGUAAAUUAUAAAGUGUUUUUCUUCAUAUUAAAGUACAUAACAUAGCCUCUCAAGUACAGCCUAGCCCUUGUCGUCUUAUAUUUAUUGUAAGUGAUUAUGGAACUGACACAACAGAUUUUUACUUGUUUCUGUUGUUAAGAACUUUUUAUAGCGGAAUAGAAAUCAGUGUAUCAUUCGUUAAAUACUUGAUAUAAACAGACAGAAUUAAAAAAAUUUCAAUUUUAAACUUAACACGUAAAAAUUCCACAGCAACAGCAGGGGAGUGUUUUUUUUUUGUUCUUUGGUUGUGAGCCAGAAAAGGUCCAUUUCUGUUUUUUUUUUUUUUGUUUUUUUUUUUUUUUGCAUUGGGAAGAUCUUCUGGCUCUCUUCUACCUCUUCCUUGAAAUAGGUGGUUUAGACAGCAGAGGCACAAAACAAAAAAUGGCGUUGUUUUGUCGAAAUGACAAUAAUAAAUAGAGAGCCUCCCCGUGCUUAAGGUUUAUGCUCUUAUAUUAUACUAGAUUAUGAGCCUUCGGCUGUUGUCUGCUCUAUGGUCGGGUUGUUAUCGCUUUGACACAUUCCCCAUUUCCUUUCUCAAUGUUAUUAUGAAUGUAGAUAUAUUAGAAUGUGAGCUGUGUUAUACAUGUUUUUAUGGUACGACAGCCUUAGUAGGACAUCUCUGUAGGAUGAUAAGCUAGAUGAAUAUAAGAACUACACGGACAAUAACAGUUAGGGCCAACUAUUUAAUAUUCUAGGGAAGGAAUUUUAAAUUUAUUGUUGUUAAACUCUACUUUCAUCACUCAUGAUUUGGCUAGUGGUUAGUUGAAAUCAUUAGAUGAGGAAUGAAGAAAAGAGGGUAUUAUUGAUCAUUUUAAUAUGUCGCUAAACAUGCCUUUUUUCAACUCUUAGCAGGCAACCAUAUUUAUAUACGAAAUACUCCUGUCCCCACCCCAACCGAAGUUAUUAAAUAUCAGAUGGUUUUCUCUUUUUAACACAACUUAUAAUUGAUGCUAAUUUUUAACGCACAGUGAACACAUAUUUCAUGCAAUUGCAUAUUCAGGAAAAACGAGAUUAAACAUCAGAUAUAUAUAAUAUAAAAACUAAG